UGGGGAAUUUUGGACAAUGGGCGAAAGCCUGAUCCAGCAAUGCCGCGUGUGUGAAGAAGGCCUUCGGGUUGUAAAGCACUUUUGUCCGGAAAGAAAUCCUUGGCUCUAAUACAGUCGGGGGAUGACGGUACCGGAAGAAUAAGCACCGGCUAACUACGUGCCAGCAGCCGCGGUAAUACGUAGGGUGCAAGCGUUAAUCGGAAUUACUGGGCGUAAAGCGUGCGCAGGCGGUUUGCUAAGACCGAUGUGAAAUCCCCGGGCUCAACCUGGGAACUGCAUUGGUGACUGGCAGGCUAGAGUAUGGCAGAGGGGGGUAGAAUUCCACGUGUAGCAGUGAAAUGCGUAGAGAUGUGGAGGAAUACCGAUGGCGAAGGCAGCCCCCUGGGCCAAUACUGACGCUCAUGCACGAAAGCGUGGGGAGCAAACAGGAUUAGAUACCCUGGUAGUCCACGCCCUAAACGAUGUCAACUAGUUGUCGGGGAUUCAUUUCCUUAGUAACGUAGCUAACGCGUGAAGUUGACCGCCUGGGGAGUACGGUCGCAAGAUUAAAACUCAAAUGAAUUGACGGGGUCAUAGCUGUUUCCU
rnacentral:rRNA from 1 species